GGAUGUGAAGGUGAUCUGGCUGAGACAUCAGUCACCCCAUUGAACGCCAACAUUGAUUCAGUUGAUCUGGUUGGCUAAGCAGGUGUUCCCUUCUUCCCUCACCACUCCAUGUGCAUCCCUCCCAAAACUGCACACUCUUGUCAAAGAAGGCCACCUUCCCUAAUAACAGGAGGACAGAGGACCGUUUUCAGUCAAGGGUAUGUGAAUAACUGUACUCCCGUGCUAGAACUUACAAACAAGCUCUCAAAAAUGUAGUCACUAAUACAGGCUUAUUGAAGAGAAUCUUCAGCUU
rnacentral:snRNA from 1 species